GCUGUAGAUCAGCAGUAGAGCAUCUGCUUUGCAUGCAGAAGGUCCCAGUUUCCAUGACUGGUAUCUCCA